rnacentral:rRNA from 1 species
UACAGGGGGUGCAAACGUUGCUCGGAAUCAUUGGGCGUAAAGCGCACGUAGGCGGUUCGUUAUGUCGGAUGUGAAAGCCCUUGGCUUAACCAAGGAAGUGCAUCCGAAACUGGCGAGCUAGAGUACUAAAGAGGAUCGCGGAAUUCCCGGUGUAGAGGUGAAAUUCGUAGAUAUCGGGAGGAACACCGGUGGCGAAGGCGGCGAUCUGGGUAGAUACUGACGCUGAGGAGCGAAAGCGUGGGGAGCGAACAGG